rnacentral:misc_RNA from 1 species
GAUGAAGAACGUAGCGAAAUGCGAUACUUGGUGUGAAUUGCAGAAUCCCGUGAACCAUCGAGUCUUUGAACGCAAGUUGCGCCCGAAGCCAUUAGGCCGAGGGCACGCCUGCCUGGGCGUCACACGUCGUUGCCCCCCCAUCUACUCCUUCGGGAUUGCGGGGGGCGGAUGAUGGCCUCCCGUGCGCCUCGUCGCGCGGUCGGCCUAAAUGCCAAGUCCUCGGCGACGCACGCCACGACAAUCGGUGGUUGCGAAACCUCGGUUGCCUGUCGUGUGCGGUCGUCGCGCAUCGAGGGCUCGAAAAAAUUGCCGGGCUUCGGCUCGACUUUCAACGCGACCCCAGGUCAGGCGGGGUUACCCGCUGAAUUUAAGCAUAUCAAUAAGCGGAGGA